rfam:Ovis aries breed Texel chromosome 15, whole genome shotgun sequence.
UCCCUGGUGGCUCAGAGGUUAAAGCGUCUGCCUGCAAUGCGGGAGACGUGGGUUCAAUUCCUGGGUUGGGAA